rnacentral:tRNA from 1 species
CGGAGUAUAGCGCAGUUGGUUAGCGCGCGCGGGUUUAGACCUGCGAGGUCGAGAGUUCGAGCCUCUCUGCUCCGA